UACGGAGGGGGCUAGCGUUGUUCGGAAUUACUGGGCGUAAAGCGCACGUAGGCGGCUUCGCAAGUCAGCGGUGAAAGCCCGCGGCUCAACCCCGGAACUGCCUUUGAGACUGCGUGGCUCGAGUCCGGGAGAGGCGGGUGGAAUUCCGGGUGUAGAGGUGAAAUUCGUAGAUAUUCGGAGGAACACCAGUGGCGAAGGCGGCCCGCUGGGCAGGCACUGACGCUGAGGUGCGAAAGCGUGGGGAGCAAACAGG
rnacentral:rRNA from 1 species